GCGCCAGUAGCUCAGAUGGAUAGAGCAACGGAUUUCUAAUCCGUCGGUCGGGGGUUCGAAUCCUCCCUGGCGCG
rnacentral:tRNA from 1 species